CAGGAAUGGUGCCUCUAAAUGCUCCAGCCCAAAGGACCAGUGCUGUUAAUGGAGUAAAUUUUAAUGAUGAAAAUGGCAGCAGUAAUCCCCAGUGAAUUUGGACACGCACAUCAGGGGCUGAAUGCCUUUGUUUGUUAUAUGGCCACGGCACUUUUGGGAACUUCCUACACAUUUGGAGAUCUCAGUAAUGCAAAGCUGCAGCAUGCCUUACAAAUAACAUAGCACAGUAUGCCAGGGAUGAACUCCAUCCACUUUAACAUUAGCCACACGAAAGCUAAGCAUCCCGUUAAGUUAAUCAGCUAGGCAGUUCCUACAGUCAGCUGAGAAAAAGAGUUGGGUAGGACUAACCAAAAGGGUUGAUCCCCUGCCCGCAGUACAUGAGACAACUCCACAGGUGCCAUUUCUCAACAGUGAAGCUAGACAAGGGAGCCCUGGUGAUUAGCUGAGUCUGAUGACCUAACUUUCAGAUGGCUAAAAUUACAUUAAAUGAAUCCCGGCCUCAGACACAGGAGUACUUGUGCUAAAACACUCCAUCACAGGAGGUCUUGUAAAAGCACACUUCUUCAAGUCUCUAGACAGGUUUAUACAGAAUAUUUGAAAAGUCUAUUAUCAAAUAAAAUCCUCUUGAGGGUUUUGAAGUCCAAGAGGAGCAGAUUUGCACUGGUGUGGGCAAAACCCCCCAGCAUGUGAAACUGUUUAGCAGGGCAGGAGCUUUUCAAAAUGUAAGAUAUUUAGGUUAACACAGACUCAUGAUUUCCCCUAGAACUUUGCUCU